rnacentral:rRNA from 1 species
UACGGAGGGUGCAAGCGUUAUCCGGAUUCACUGGGUUUAAAGGGUGCGUAGGUGCAAGUAAGUCAGUGGUGAAAUCUCCGGGCUUAACCCGGAAACUGCCAUUGAUACUAUUUGUCUUGAAUACUGUGGAGGUCAGCGGAAUAUGUCAUGUAGCGGUGAAAUGCUUAGAUAUGACAUAGAACACCAAUUGCGAAGGCAGCUGGCUACACAAAUAUUGACACUGAGGCACGAAAGCGUGGGGAUCAAACAGG